AUUGAACGCUGGCGGCAGGCCUAACACAUGCCAGUCGAACGGUAACAGAAAGCAGCUUGCUGCUUUGCUGACGAGUGGCGGACGGGUGAGUAAUGUCUGGGAAACUGCCUGAUGGAGGGGGAUAACUACUGGAAACGGUAGCUAAUACCGCAUAACGUCGCAAGACCAAAGAGGGGGACCUUCGGGCCUCUUGCCAUCGGAUGUGCCCAGAUGGGAUUAGCUUGUUGGUGGGGUAACGGCUCACCAAGGCGACGAUCCCUAGCUGGUCUGAGAGGAUGACCAGCCACACUGGAACUGAGACACGGUCCAGACUCCUACGGGAGGCAGCAGUGGGGAAUAUUGCACAAUGGGCGCAAGCCUGAUGCAGCCAUGCCGCGUGUAUGAAGAAGGCCUUCGGGUUGUAAAGUACUUUCAGCGGGGAGGAAGGGAGUAAAGUUAAUACCUUUGCUCAUUGACGUUACCCGCAGAAGAAGCACCGGCUGACUCCGUG
rnacentral:rRNA from 1 species